rnacentral:rRNA from 1 species
GGGUUGUGAGGUUAAGCGACUAAGCGUACACGGUGGAUGCCCUGGCAGUCAGAGGCGAUGAAGGGCGUGCUAAUCUGCGAUAAGCGCCGGUAAGGUGAUAUGAACCGUUAUAACCGGCGAUACCCGAAUGGGGAAACCCAGUGUGACUCGUCACACUAUCAUUAACUGAAUCCAUAGGUUAAUGAGGCGAACCGGGGGAACUGAAACAUCUAAGUACCCCGAGGAAAAGAAAUCAACCGAGAUUCCCCCAGUAGCGGCGAGCGAACGGGGAGGAGCCCAGAGCCUGAAUCAGCAUGUGUGUUAGUGGAAGCGUCUGGAAAGGCGCGCGAUACAGGGUGACAGCCCCGUACACAAAAGCGCAUAUGCUGUGAGCUCGAUGAGUAGGGCGGGACACGUGGUAUCCUGUCUGAAUAUGGGGGGACCAUCCUCCAAGGCUAAAUACUCCUGACUGACCGAUAGUGAACCAGUACCGUGAGGGAAAGGCGAAAAGAACCCCGGCGAGGGGAGUGAAAAAGAACCUGAAACCGUGUACGUACAAGCAGUGGGAGCACCCUUUUGGGUGUGACUGCGUACCUUUUGUAUAAUGGGUCAGCGACUUAUAUUCUGUAGCA